GAUGAACGCUAGCUACAGGCUUAACACAUGCAAGUCGAGGGGCAGCAUGAAAUCAGCUUGCUGAUUUUGAUGGCGACCGGCGCACGGGUGAGUAACGCGUAUCCGACCUGCCCCGUACUCAUGGAUAGCCUUGCGAAAGCAAGGGUAAUACAUGAUGUUGUCAUUGUUCUGCAUGGGAUGAUGACCAAAGGUUUACCGAUACGGGAUGGGGAUGCGUAACAUUAGGUAGUAGGCGGGGUAACGGCCCACCUAGCCAACGAUGUUUAGGGGUUCUGAGAGGAAGGUCCCCCACACUGGAACUGAGACACGGCCCAGACUCCUACGGGAGGCAGCAGUGGGGAAUAUUGCACAAUGGGCGCAAGCCUGAUGCAGCGAUGCCGCGUGAGGGAAGAAGGUUUUAGGAUUGUAAACCUCUGUCUUCAGGGACGAUAAUGACGGUACCUGAGGAGGAAGCUCCGGCUAACUACGUG
rnacentral:rRNA from 1 species